rnacentral:rRNA from 1 species
UGCAGUCGAGCGGUAAGGCCCUUCGGGGUACACGAGCGGCGAACGGGUGAGUAACACGUGAGCAACCUGCCCCUGACUCCGGGAUAAGCGGUGGAAACGCCGUCUAAUACCGGAUACGACCCGCCACCUCAUGGUGGAGGGUGGAAAGUUUUUCGGUCAGGGAUGGGCUCGCGGCCUAUCAGCUUGUUGGUGGGGUAACGGCCUACCAAGGCGAUUACGGGUAGCCGGCCUGAGAGGGCGACCGGCCACACUGGGACUGAGACACGGCCCAGACUCCUGCGGGAGGCAGCAGUGGGGAAUAUUGCGCAAUGGGCGAAAGCCUGACGCAGCGACGCCGCGUGGGGGAUGACGGCCUUCGGGUUGUAAACCUCUUUUACCACCAACGCAGGCCCGGAGUUUUCUUCGGGUUGACGGUAGGUGGGGAAUAAGGACCGGCUAACUACGUGCCAGCAGCCGCGGUAAUACGUAGGGUCCGAGCGUUGUCCGGAAUUAUUGGGCGUAAAGAGCUCGUAGGCGGCGUGUCGCGUCUGCUGUGAAAGACCGGGGCUUAACUCCGGUUCUGCAGUGGAUACGGGCAUGCUAGAGGUAGGUAGGGGAGACUGGAAUUCCUGGUGUAGCGGUGAAAUGCGCAGAUAUCAGGAGGAACACCGGUGGCGAAGGCGGGUCUCUGGGCCUUACCUGACGCUGAGGAGCGAAAGCAUGGGGAGCGAACAGGAUUAGAUACCCUGGUAGUCCAUGCCGUAAACGUUGGGCGCUAGGUGUGGGGACUUUCCACGGUUUCCGCGCCGUAGCUAACGCAUUAAGCGCCCCGCCUGGGGAGUACGGCCGCAAGGCUAAAACUCAAAGGAAUUGACGGGGGCCCGCACAAGCGGCGGAGCAUGUUGCUUAAUUCGACGCAACGCGAAGAACCUUACCAAGGUUUGACAUCACCCGUGGACUCGCAGAGAUGUGAGGUCAUUUAGUUGGCGGGUGACAGGUGGUGCAUGGCUGUCGUCAGCUCGUGUCGUGAGAUGUUGGGUUAAGUCCCGCAACGAGCGCAACCCUUGUUCCAUGUUGCCAGCACGUAAUGGUGGGGGACUCAUGGGAGACUGCCGGGGGUCAACUCGGAAGGAAGGUGGGGGAUGACGUCAAGUCAUCAUGCCCCCUUAUGUCUUGGGGCUGCAAACAUGCUACAAUGGGCCGGUACAAUGGGGCGUNNGAUACCGUAAGGNUGGAGCGAAUCCCUAAAAGCC